rnacentral:misc_RNA from 1 species
GUGGAAAAUGGCGUGAAGCUGGAACUAGCGGCGUGACUCUGUAACUAUGGCACUGGCGAGGGGAGCACGGUGGUGCUAUGGGGUCCAAUGGUGUGCGGGUGGUUAAUUUGGGACCAAGGAUGGGUCUUGACAGGGGUGAACGUUUAAAGUAAUGAGUUAAACGUGUUGCGUCUUGACCGAAAGGGCUGGGAGAGAAGGGCGCGAUCUGCUAAAGGUGGGAGCUCGAGAUGGUGGCGUUCAGCUAGGUGGUGGGUCUACGUUGAUGGAGAUUUCACCGAAAAUUAACUGCUGCUGGGAUUUCUCUUGCUUCAAGCUCUACACUCGCUGGUCUAGAGGCAGCGCUAUGUGAUUGAAUGGGUGGUAAUUCCAGGAGAUGGAGGGAGA